rnacentral:rRNA from 1 species
UACGUAGGGUGCGAGCGUUAAUCGGAAUUACUGGGCGUAAAGGGCUCGUAGGCGGCCAACUAAGUCGGAUGUGAAAUCCCCAAGCUUAACUUGGGAACUGCAUCCGAUACUGGAUGGCUUGAAUCCGGGAGAGGGAUGCAGAAUUCCAGGUGUAGCGGUGAAAUGCGUAGAUAUCUGGAGGAACACCGAUGGCGAAGGCAGGUCUCUGGGCCACUACUGACGCUGAGAAGCGAAAGCAUGGGGAGCGAACAGG